CAAAUUCCCAUUAGGGGAAGGUGAGAACCUUCGACCAAGGUUCGACAAAACCGGUACGGUUUUGAGCAACGCUUAGCGUUGACCCGCAAGGUGAGGUGCGGAGCGCCGAAUUAUCCUUCCCCCACCGCCA
rnacentral:sRNA from 1 species